CACUAAACCAAGCACAACUACUGUUCUCCUGUGUCUUUAUUUCUCCUGUUUUCACAGGUAAAACCGACCAGACAAGAUGAGGAGAGAGGACCAGCACUACGGAUCAUACACCGAGAGGAAGGAAGGACUGGCAGAGGCAGACUUCGUGGGAAUUGGAAGACCCACUCCGAGAGACAGAAGUGACACCAACUGAACCAGCCAACAGGGAACUAAACACAGCAGAAAGCCCGACAAAACCGACUAUGUGGAAGAAGAGUCCAGCGGAAUCAACGGAGCGGAACAAGACGAGGGGGGAGAAUUUAGUUAGACUAGGAGAGAAAAACAUAAACAUAUAGUUCGCAGACACAUAGACCAUCUUUGAAAACACUAGUUAAGUGCAACACACAUAGUUUAACUACAAAACGCAAGGGGUUAGUUCAGGAUUGUUUACAAUGUAUAUAUGUUUGAUACUCUGUGUUUCAUCGUUUAAAUGUUUGUGCUGCUGUGGAAACAGGUAAGGCCGACAGGGGAGAAUCCAUAAGACAUUAGGAGUCAUGCAGAGACACAGGAGCUAUGGGCCCCUUCUGAAUAUCUGCAGCUCCGUCUGGUGGAGGACAACCUGAACGGACUUCCUGUAGAAGCCACGCACCCAUUGUGUUUAUUUUAUUUUUCUUCUCUUUUUGAUUUCCUAUUUUUUAAAUUACUUUAUUUUGAUUUCCUGUUUUUAUUAUUUUUUGUUUGUUUGUUUGUUUCAGGGUUAGGAGCUGUUGCGAUAGGUACGGUUCCUUUAGUUUAAUUGGUAGCCUUUUUAUUUUUAGAAACGUUUUAUUGUAUAAAAUUCAGCCCAGUGGCCAUGUAGUCAGAAGGGGUUAAAUUGGGGGGUUGCUGACGGCUAUCCUUAUCUCCUGGGAUCUAGAAACACCUAACCUAUAGUUAAAAGUUAUUGUGAAAGCAUUAAGAUGCUUUCAAGGGGGAAUUGUUAGGUUUUUUGGAACAUAAAAACGUACAUUUAAUAUGGGAAGUUUUACGGCAUUUUCCAAGCUUUACGACAUCCAGGCCACGUGGUCUUUUGUCCAACAUGUCGCCGGCUAGGCUCUCUCCCUGACUCCUACAGAGGGGGGGAGGCAGAGCCCGGGGCUAGUUAGCACACUUCAUUGGCUUCACCAGCAGUAAAGGAGGAGGAGCCUAGACUAGUUUAAAAAAGGACGGCGGGCUCAGAGGAGCCCUCUUUCUUACGUGGUUUUUCUAGACUGCAGGAGUAAGGAGCGUCGGUCGGCUUAGCUCUGAUAUAUAUUCACAGAUUAUUUUUACACUUAAUAAAGUGUUUUAAAGAGUA